GCGCGCUGAUGACUCCUUAGGACACCUUUGGAUUCCCAUGAAAACAACUGUGAUGGCUGAGCGCC
ensembl:snoRNA SNORD58 Small nucleolar RNA SNORD58